rnacentral:rRNA from 1 species
CCGCGGUAAUUCCAGCUCCAAUAGCGUAUAUUAAAGUUGUUGCAGUUAAAAGCUCGUAGUUGAAUUUCGGGGUCAGUAGAUUGGUCGUGCCACUGGUAUGCACUGGUCUUACUGGCUCCUCCUUCCUGAUGAGCUGUAAUGCCAUUAAUUUGGUGUUGCAGGGAAUCUGGACUGUUACUUGAAAAAUUAGAGUGUUUAAAGCAGGCUAACGCUUGAAUACAUUAGCAUGGAAUAAUGAAAUAGGACGUUCGAUCCUAUUUUGUUGGUUUCUAGGAUUGACGUAAUGAUUAAUAGGGAUAGUUGGGGGCAUUAGUAUUCAAUUGUCAGAGGUGAAAUUCUUGGAUUUAUUGAAGACUAACUACUGCGAAAGCAUUUGCCAAGGAUGUUUUCAUUAAUCAAGAACGAAAGUUAGGGGGAUCGAAGACGAUCAGAUACCGUCGUAGUCUUAACCAUAAACUAUGCCGACUAGGGAUCGGAUGAUGUUAAUUUUUUAAUGACUCAUUCGGCGCCUUACG